UUCGCUUAGUUUCUUAGAAGACAUUUCAUCAUGGUCAUGUGACUGAUAAAAUUCGCAAAACGCUAUUUGAAUCGAAAUUCUGGACUCGGUGAUGGCUUAUAAAAUGGUUGCUCGGUGGUGAUAUGAAGCGAAUAUCCGAGAAGCGGCAUCAAUAGACAAUCGACGAAGCCGCUGGACAGUUAAGAUUCCAGCUGGAACUAUCAGAGAGGUGAUGCCAAUACAACGAUUGUGUGUACGUAGCCGUAUUUCUAUAUAAGUUGGUCAAUGGAGUAAGCGUUCAAAUAUUCUGAUGCCAUUUGUUGGUAAAAGGAAGACAUUUUUUUCUAAGUCUUCUUUCUAAUCACCAUAACUACCAAAUUUCCUUCUACUUGGUGCUCCAGUCCAUAGUCUACAGGAAAGAAAAUCCCUUUAUCUGUUCUCACUGGUUUUAAGAAACUAACAAUGGAGCCAUGACGCCAGAUAUUUCUAUCCAAACCACAACACACUUUUGUGAUGUGUCUCGUUCGCAAGUGUAUCCUGGGAUUUUCAAAUCUGGUUAUGCAGUGCUGACCUCAGCUAAACGAAAACAGCAACAGCAACAAUUCUUCCUAUCGAGUUUCUAAAUGAAGAUUGAGAGUCUUCAUUUGUCAAGUGAAGCAGAAUGAAUGUAACGCACUUCUGAAGAGAACCGGCUAAGUUUUAUAUCCCAACUUCCUGUUAUAUUCGAACUUGUGAAUGAAACUACCAAAAGUUGAAUAGACCAAACAGUAACCAGAUUAAGAUGCAGCUAGAUACUAUUACUCAACAUUCCAUUGGAAUUAGAAUGAAAUUUGAUAAAGACAAAAACAUGACACCAGGAAUUCGACCGUUCGAUUAAGUUAGACAAACACAAAAAUUGUUCCAGUCUCACAUCUCAACAGCAAUGCUCAAUUUUAUAAUCUUAUCACGAAAGCAGUUAUUUAUAGGGUUCGUAAAUGAUCAAUGUUUUUGGCAGGUAAGUGAAAAACAUAUUGCAAUAUGUUUAUGUCAGAAUAAUUUGUGCUGUUAAUGACACCAAGUCACACAUUUUUGAUAAGCUGAUUUUUAUACACAAAGAACAAGCUGUCCAUUUUAGUGAACGGGUCAGUUUCAUAUGGCUUACAUAUACAGAGAUAAUUUUAACUGACUUUCUACGCUUUGUAUGAAAUAAGAUAUGCCAAAUUUUUUUAUGUACAAAAUCGUGAAAUUGUAACUUAUUGGGUCCCCCAUUAAGUUUUUCUGGCCUGAACAAUGGCAAUAACGGUUGUCGUGUCUUAUAUAAAUAUGUAUAAAAUCAUAUAUAUGUAUAUAUAUACUUACACGCAUACAAACACGCAUAAAUAUAUAUAUAUAUAUACAUACAUAUAUAUAUAAAACAAACAAAACUACAAGUGAAUGAAACACCGUUCAGUGAUAUACCAACUAUGUUGGUGAUAGGCGUUGUCAAUAUAAACUAUGAAACUUCCCUAUUUAGAGCUGUACCCACUUAAAGAUGUAGUUGUUAAAUAUCUUUUUUGUACACACUGCGCCAUAUUAACGUCGUGAUCUGCAACUGUUAGGUUUUAUAUCAAAUUGUACAUUUGGCGGAAGUGAUGGAUAUUUAACAGUGGAUAUGAGCAUUUAAUAGAAGGUCGGACACAUUAUACAUCGAUAUCUAUAAUAUAAUCAUGCAUUGUAGAUUAGAGUUCAAAUGUAACUAUUUCAAGUGUAUUAUCCAUUUGCAUUCAUGAUAUAAUGUACGUGUGUGUAUACUUUACGUUAGUCAAUGGACUUAUUUCAUCUGUGCCUAUGCCAUAGCGCCAGUAUUGAAGGUCAUUAAAUAAUAGUUGAUGUCAUUCGAGAGCGAUGGAGGUUAUUUAUAUGUGGAAGCUGUUUGACAAUGGCAAUAUACAUUUACAUUUGAUAGUGGAGUACUUUUGAUAGUAGUAGAGAGUAUUCAGAGAAAUAAUGAACAUAUAACAGAAAUGAAGAAGGUGAUGCACUUUUGACAAUAGUGAAGGACAUUUAAAUAUUAAAAUUUUAACCUUAAAUAUUUAAGUAUCCUUCACAUUUGAUUACUGGAGCAGAAACCUUAGUGUUGGAAGGUUCAAGUCAAUAAUGGAGAACUUUAAGGUGUAAUGAAAGAUACUUGACAGAUAGGAUAUUUGACGGAAAUAGCGGACAUUUAGGUCGUCUGUUACUAUUGUUUACAAAAUUGAUCAAAAGAAGGGUUUUGAGUAAAUUUGACAAGAGUGUUAGACUUUUAACCGAUGCAGUGGACAUUUAAAAGCAAUGGUGAACAUUUCACGGAGGGAGUGGUAAUUUGGCAGUGACGGUAAACAUUUGGCCGAGGUGAUGGAUAUUUAGUAGUCAUUAUGAGCAUUUGACACAAGGUCAGACAUUUGUCAAAGUUCUUAUUUGAUAAACACGGUGGACAUGCGAUUGUGGUGGUAUACAGUGAAGGACACUAUUCAACUAAAGCAAUGGACAUAUGAAAGCGGUUUUUAAUCUCUUUUACGUAUCGAAUAAAAUUAUAAUUUCAUGAAA
rnacentral:lncRNA from 1 species